GACAGACCCUCACAGCAGUGACAGGUGCCACUGGCAGCCGUGAUUCUGCUGUGCCUCCCCCCAUGGGACACCUGUGGGAAGGAGGAGGUUGCUUCAGUCUAUGAGAGUCCUGCCAGAGACAAAGGGCUGUAAAUGUCCACUUCUGAGAGUAUAUGAUUAUGAAACAUCCUGGCUUAAAAAAAGAGGGAGUCGGCUUCUCUGGAACUGCCUUCAUGAGCCCCAGUAUUGUCCCCUGAAAAUUAAAGAAAACUAUUCUCUCCAGGAUCCUUUACCUACGACUGCUGAUUCCUAAGUCUGAGCUGGAUAAAUAGAUUGAGACAGCCUGCCCUGUGCUGUGGAGAUGAAUUCAAGCAUUGCAAGAAGGUUUUUUAGGUAAAAUCUUGGUCCUCACUGAAGAAGAAGUGGAG